rnacentral:rRNA from 1 species
CGGACGGGUGAGUAACGCGUGGGUAACCUGCCUCACACUGGGGGAUAACAGUUAGAAAUAGCUGCUAAUACCGCAUAAGCGCACGGUUCCGCAUGGAACAGUGUGAAAAACUCCGGUGGUGUGAGAUGGACCCGCGUUGGAUUAGCUAGUUGGUGAGGUAACGGCCCACCAAGGCGACGAUCCAUAGCCGACCUGAGAGGGUGACCGGCCACAUUGGGACUGAGACACGGCCCAA